rnacentral:rRNA from 1 species
UAGGGAAUAUUGGGCAAUGGAGGCAACUCUGACCCAGCAACACCGCGUGAAUGAAGAAGGUCUUCGGAUUGUAAAGUUCUGUGAUGGGGGACGAAGAAAGUGACGGUACCCCAAGAGCAAGCCACGGCUAACUACGUGCCAGCAGCCGCGGUAAUACGUAGGUGGCAAGCGUUGUCCGGAAUGACUGGGCGUAAAGGGUGCGUAGGUGGUCUGUCAAGUUAGCCGUGAAAUUCCGGGGCUCAACUCCGGCGCUACGGCUAAGACUGACGGACUUGAGUGCAGGAGGGGCAAGUGGAAUUCCUAGUGUAGCGGUGGAAUGCGUAGAUAUUAGGAGGAACACCAGAGGCGAAGGCGACUUGCUGGACUGUAACUGACACUGAGGCACGAAAGCGUGGGGAGCAAACAGG